rnacentral:rRNA from 1 species
GGUGGGUAGUUUGACUGGGGCGGUCUCCUCCUAAAGAGUAACGGAGGAGCACGAAGGUUGGCUAAUCCUGGUCGGACAUCAGGAGGUUAGUGCAAUGGCAUAAGCCAGCUUGACUGCGAGCGUGACGGCGCGAGCAGGUGCGAAAGCAGGUCAUAGUGAUCCGGUGGUUCUGAAUGGAAGGGCCAUCGCUCAACGGAUAAAAGGUACUCCGGGGAUAACAGGCUGAUACCGCCCAAGAGUUCAUAUCGACGGCGGUGUUUGGCACCUCGAUGUCGGCUCAUCACAUCCUGGGGCUGAAGUAGGUCCCAAGGGUAUGGCUGUUCGCCAUUUAAAGUGGUACGCGAGCUGGGUUUAGAACGUCGUGAGACAGUUCGGUCCCUAUCUGCCGUGGGCGCUGGAGAACUGAGGGGGGCUGCUCCUAGUACGAGAGGACCGGAGUGGACGCAUCACUGGUGUUCGGGUUGUCAUGCCAAUGGCACUGCCCGGUAGCUAAAUGCGGAAGAGAUAAGUGCUGAAAGCAUCUAAGCACGAAACUUGCCCCGAGAUGAGUUCUCCCUGAGACUUUAGGUCUCCUGAAGGAACGUUGAAGACGACGACGUUGAUAGGCCGGGUGUGUAAGCGCAGCGAUGCGUUGAGCUAACCGGUACUAAUGAACCGUGAGGCUUAACCUUACA